AUUCAUUGAGUUUAAUACUCUACCUCUUACUGUGUUAAUGCAUCAAACAAUAUACUUAAGUCUUAUUUUCUCUCACAAUCUAGCAUUCACCCAUGGACUGUCACCAUUAACAAAUUUUCCAUCAUGUAAUCUCGCUAUCAUACUUAUAUACCAAGCACUUGGAUUAUGUAUACUUAUGCCAAAGUCACACGUAUAACAUCACUAGCACGAUAUUACUAAAACUGUCAAACCUCUUUAAGACGCAUGAAGUUGAGUAAAUUGUUUAACUACUUUCCUCCAAAUAUCUUUCACUACCAAGGUCAACAACCUGAACAUGGCUAAUCUAUUACACUUCUUACAUUUUUGCGCAACUCUUUUCUCUCCUACCCAAACUCAUA
rnacentral:lncRNA from 1 species